rnacentral:rRNA from 1 species
UACGGAGGGUGCGAGCGUUGUCCGGAAUCACUGGGCGUAAAGGGCGCGUAGGCGGCCUGAUAAGUAGGGGGUGAAAUCCUGCGGCUUAACCGCAGGGCUGCCUUCUAAACUGUCAGGCUCGAGCACAGUAGAGGCAGGUGGAAUUCCCGGUGUAGCGGUGGAAUGCGUAGAGAUCGGGAAGAACAUCAGUGGCGAAGGCGGCCUGCUGGGCUGUUGCUGACGCUGAGGAGCGAAAGCGUGGGGAGCGAACAGG